AUGAAUUGCUUUGUGUGGAACUGUCGCGGGCUUGGGAACUCGGACAUAGUUUGAGAGGUCCACCAUUUGGUGAGAGUGGAAGCGCCCGCCUUGGUCUUUGUUUCUGAAACCAAGAUCGAGGGGUCAAGAGUUGCUGAUUUGACGACAGAGUUGGGUUUUGCUGGGUGUGUGCCCGUAAGCAGUGCAGGUGUAAGUGGUGGUUUGGCCCUUUUUUGA
rnacentral:rRNA from 1 species